rnacentral:pre_miRNA from 1 species
UAUCUACUCCCUCCGUUUGAAAUUACUUGUCUCGGAAAUGGAUGUAUCUAGACGUAUUUUAGUUCUAGAUACAUCCAUUUCCGAGACAAGUAAUUUCAAACGGAGGGAGUACCUA